rnacentral:rRNA from 1 species
GGGAAUAAGUGAUUGCAGAGCUCAGUGAACCAUCGAAUUUUUGAACGCACAUUGCGCCCGCCAGCACUCUGGCGGGCAUGCCUGUCCGAGCGUCAUUUCAACCCCUCGGGCCCCCCUAACGGGGCGGCCCGGUGUUGGGGAUCGCCCGCCCCCCGCGGCGGGCGUCCCCUAAAUACAGUGGCGGACCUUCCGCGCCUCCCCUGCGUAGUACUGCACCUCGCACCGGAGCGCGCUGGGGCCCUGCCGUAAAACCCCCCAAUUCUCAAGGUUGACCUCGGAUCAGGUAGGAAUACCCGCUGAACUUAAGCAUAUCAAUAAGCGGAGGAAAAGAAACCAACAGGGAUUGCCCCAGUAACGGCGAGUGAAGCGGCAACAGCUCAAAUUUGAAAUCUGGCCCCCGGGCCCGAGUUGUAAUUUGCAGAGGAUGCUUUUGGCGAGGUGCCUUCCGAGUUCCCUGGAACGGGACGCCAUAGAGGGUGAGAGCCCCGUACGGUCGUGCCACCGAGCCUCUGUAAAGCUCCUUCGACGAGUCGAGUAGUUUGGGAAUGCUGCUCUAAAUGGGAGGUGUAUGUCUUCUAAAGCUAAAUACCGGCCAGAGACCGAUAGCGCACAAGUAGAGUGAUCGAAAGAUGAAAAGCACUUUGAAAAGAGGGUUAAACAGUACGUGAAAUUGUUGAAAGGGAAGCAUUCAUGACCAGACUUGGGCGUGGCGGAUCAACCGGCGUUCUCGCCGGUGCACUCCGCCUGUCCAGGCCAGCAUCAGUUCGCCCCGGGGGGGAAAGGCUUCGGGAACGUGACUCCUUCGGGAGUGUUAUAGCCCGUUGCGUAAUGCCCUGGGGUGGACUGAGGUCCGCGCUUCCGCAUGGAUGCUGGCGUAAUGGUCAUCAAUGACCCGUCUUGAAACACGGACCAAGGAGUCGUCUUCGUAUGCGAGUGUUCGGGUGUCAAACCCCUACGCGGAAUGAAAGUGAACGCAGGUGGGAGCUUCGGCGCACCACCGACCGAUCCUGAUGUUCUCGGAUGGAUUUGAGUAAGAGCAUACGGGGCCGGACCCGAAAGAAGGUGAACUAUGCCUGUGUAGGGUGAAGCCAGAGGAAACUCUGGUGGAGGCUCGCAGCGGUUCUGACGUGCAAAUCGAUCGUCAAACAUGGGCAUGGGGGCGAAAGACUAAUCGAACCUUCUAGUAGCUGGUUUCCGCCGAAGUUUCCCUCAGGAUAGCAGUGUUGAACUCAGUUUUAUGAGGUAAAGCGAAUGAUUAGGGACCCGGGGGCGCUAUUUAGCCUUCAUCCAUUCUCAAACUUUAAAUAUGUAAGAAGCCCUUGUUGCUUAAUUGAACGUGGGCAUUCGAAUGUAUCAACACUAGUGGGCCAUUUUUGGUAAGCAGAACUGGCGAUGCGGGAUGAACCGAACGCGAGGUUAAGGUGCCUGAGUGAACGCUCAUGAGACACCACAAAAGGUGUUAGUACAUCUUGACAGCAGGACGGUGGCCAUGGAAGUCGGAAUCCGCUAAGGACUGUGUAACAACUCACCUGCCGAAUGUACUAGCCCUGAAAAUGGAUGGCGCUUAAGCGUUUCACCUAUACCUCGCCCUCAGGGUAGGAUCGAUGCCCUGAGGAGUAGGCGGACGUGGGGGUCAGUGACGAAGCCUAGGGCGGAGCCCCCGGUA